GACGAACGCUGGCGGCGUGCCUAAUACAUGCAAGUCGAGCGGAUUGAUGGGAGCUUGCUCCCUGAUAUCAGCGGCGGACGGGUGAGUUACACGUGGGCAACCUGCCUAUAAGACUGGGAUAACUUCGGGAAACCGGAGCUAAUACCGGAUAAUCCCUUUCCUCUCAUGAGGAAAGGCUGAAAGAUGGUUUACGCUAUCACUUAAAGAUGGGCCCGGGGCGCAUUAGCUAGUUGGUGAGGUAACGGCUCACCAAGGCAACGAUGCGUAGCCGACCUGAGAGGGUGAUCGGCCACACUGGGACUGAGACACGGCCCAGACCCCUACGGGAGGCAGCAGUAGGGAAUCUUCCGCAAUGGACGAAAGUCUGACGGAGCAACGCCGCGUGAGUGAUGAAGGUUUUCGGAUCGUAAAACUCUGUUGUUAGGGAAGAACAAGUACGAGAGUAACUGCUCGUACCUUGACGGUACCUAACCAGAAAGCCACGGCUAACUACGUGCCAGCCGCCGCGGUAA
rnacentral:rRNA from 1 species